GGCGGACGGGUGAGUAAUAUAUAGGUAAUGUGCCCUAGAGAAGAGGAUAACAGUUGGAAACGACUGCUAAUACUCUAUAUGCCUUUAAGACAAAAGUCUGCAAGGGAAAUAUUUAUAGCUCUAGGAUCGGCCUGUACGGUAUCAGCUAGUUGGUGAGGUAAUGGCUCACCAAGGCAAUGACGCCUAACUGGUUUGAGAGGAUGAUCAGUCACACUGGAACUGAGACACGGUCCAGACUCCUACGGGAGGCAGCAGUGGGGAAUAUUGCACAAUGGGGGAAACCCUGAUGCAGCAACGCCGCGUGGAGGAUGACACAUUUCGGUGCGUAAACUCCUUUUAUAUAGGAAGAUAAUGACGGUACUAUAUGAAUAAGCGCCGGCUAACUCCGUGCCAGCAGCCGCGGUAAUACGGAGGGCGCAAGCGUUACUCGGAAUCACUGGGCGUAAAGAGCGUGUAGGCGGGUUAAUAAGUUUGAAGUGAAAUCCUAUGGCUCAACCAUAGAACUGCUUUGAAAACUGUUAACCUAGAAUAUGGGAGAGGUAGAUGGAAUUUCUGGUGUAGGGGUAAAAUCCGUAGAGAUCAGAAGGAAUACCGAUUGCGAAGGCGAUCUACUGGAACAUUAUUGACGCUGAGACGCGAAAGCGUGGGGAGCAAACAGGAUUAGAUACCCUGGUAGUCCACGCCCUAAACGAUGUACACUAGUUGUUGUGAGGCUAGACCUUGCAGUAAUGCAGUAAACACAUUAAGUGUACCG
rnacentral:rRNA from 1 species